UUUGAAUAUUUGCCUGCACCCCAGACUUUGUUUGUUUGUUUCUUCUGAUAAUCAGUAUAUAAUAACAGUACUCAUUUUAAAGUCUGUUUUGAAAUUUCCCUCCCCACCUUUCUCACCAUGGUACUACAGUGCUGCAGAUGUAGUGUUAUUGGUGCUACAGUGACUCCACAGCAGUUUCUGCAUCAAAGGAAAACAGGGCCCGAAUCAUGGCAGGAGGAAGAGCUGAAACACUAGAAACUCUCUCUGAUGCUGUUCCAGAUGUCAUAAAGACCACAGUAUAAAAAAAAACCCAACAUAAUCCUGCUUUGAAAAUUCACUGUAAAGAAAGGAAAAGACCGACUGCAUCUCUCUUGUAAUGAAAUCUUGCUUUGAGCCACAGGUCUCUGGGUGUCAAAGUAACUACUGAAGGAGCUUUCCUUUCAUGAAGAGAAAAACUUCAUCUCGGUAUGAAUGAUAUGUAUCCCCUAUUGUAUUGGAGGAUGAGAAAUCUGUGACAAAGCCCAUGCCUUUGGUGGUGCCCUGUCUACUAUGGAUCCCAGGAUAAACCCAGCAGGAGACAUGCUUUUGGCACUCUUAGUUGCCUCUGAAAGACACCUUCAGCUCACUUCCAAGCUACUUGCUUUCAAUGGCUUUGAUAAGAAUUCCUGGGAGAAUGAAGGAAGCACUUUCUUUUUGGAUACCACCUGAGGACCUUGCCUAUACCUUCUUACUGCUUUAAGAGUAAAAAUUGAUCCUGUUGCAAAUAUGUAGUUUUCUUCUGAUAAUUAUGAGAAAAUUAUUAUCUCCUUUAUGUCUGGAAAGUCCAACAUACUAGAGAUUAUUAAUACACAUUUGAUAGAAGAACCUUGCAGAACCAGCUUACAGCACUGGUUUGGGCUUUACUACAGUAUCUUACUAUAAAAAAAUCUGUUCUUUAUGUACUUCUGACAAGCCAAUUCAGUGCUGAACAUAAAGAACAUGGAUGAACUUCUCAUUCUACAGAAAUUGCCACUAAUUUAAAUCAAAUGCCAGAAUUUGAUCCUGGAUUAGCCAGCAGUCUUGUUUUUAUGUAUGCUUUUGUUGCAGGGAAUGAAAAUAUGAUUUGAGAGCACUAAUAGCAACUGCCUUAGAUAAAAGCACAAGUGAUUACCUAGAGAAGAGUUGAGCUGCCUACCUGGAAAACGUGUUGUUUAAAGAGUUGUUUUCACACCCACAUUCAUCCAUUUAGCCCAAAGCAUCAGAGUCAUCCAAGCUCUGAGAUCUGGAGCAAUGAUUUCAAGUUUUCACUUUUUUGAGCCAG
rnacentral:lncRNA from 1 species